AAGGGCUUCGGGUAUGUAACACUCCCUUUUCUGGGGGGACGAAUAAGGGUAAGUAGUCCAAUGAACUUACCGAUGACGGGUACCCCAGGAACAAGCGCCGUGCUAACUUCGUGCCAGCAGCCGCGGUAAUACGAAGGGCGCAAGCGUUAUCCGGAAUCACUGGGCGUAAAGGGCGUCUAGGCGGUCGGUCAAGUCAGUCGUGAAAGUCCUCGGCUAAACUGAGGAAUGUCGGCCGAAACUGAUCGACUCGAGGAACGUAGAGGGAAGCGGAACUCUCGGAGUAGCGGUGAAAUGCGUAGAGACCGAGAGGUACCCCGAUGGUGAAGACAGCUUCCUGGGCGUUUCCUGACGCUGAAGCGCUAAGGUCAGGGGAGCGAAGGGGAUUAGAUACCCCCGUAGUCCUGGCUUCAAACGAUGUGGGCUUGGUGUCGGCCCCCGACAGAGGGUCGUUGCCGGAGCUAACGUGUUAAGCCCACCGCCUGGGGAUUACGUCCGCAAGGAUGAAACUCAAAGGAAUUGACGG
rnacentral:rRNA from 1 species